rnacentral:rRNA from 1 species
GUCUACAGCCAUACCACCCUGAACCAGCCUGAUCUUGUCUGAUCUUGGAAGCUAAGCAGGGUUGGGCCUGGUUAGUACUUGGAUGGGAAAUAUAGAGAAAUACUAGUUUUUCUUUGAAAC